CACGUAGGGCGCAAGCGUUGUCCGGAAUUAUUGGGCGUAAAGAGCUCGUAGGCGGUCUGUUACGUCUGCUGUGAAAACCCGGGGCUUAACCCUGGGCUUGCAGUGGAUACGGGCAGUCUAGAGGCAGGUAGGGGAGAAUGGAAUUCCCGGUGUAGCGGUGAAAUGCGCAGAUAUCGGGAGGAACACCGGUGGCGAAGGCGGUUCUCUGGGCCUGACCUGACGCUGAGGAGCGAAAGUGUGGGGAUCGAACAGG
rnacentral:rRNA from 1 species